rnacentral:tRNA from 1 species
CCUGUAGUCCAGUGUUAGGGCACUUGUCUUACAUACAUCAAGCCCUAGGUUCAAUUCCUAGUACUAGGA